GACGAACGCUGGCGGCGUGCCUAAUACAUGCAAGUCGAGCGAGCGGAACUAACAGAUUUACUUCGGUAAUGACGUUAGGAAAGCGAUCGGCGGAUGGGUGAGUAACACGUGGGGAACCUGCCCCAUAGUCUGGGAUACCACUUGGAAACAGGUGCUAAUACCGGAUAAGAAAGCAGAUCGCAUGGUCAGCUUUUAAAAGGCGGCGGAAGCUGUCGCUAUGGGAUGGCCCCGGGGUGCAUUAGCUAGUUGGUAAGGUCAAGGCUUACCAAGGCGAUGAUGCAUAGCCGAGUUGAGAGACUGAUCGGCCACAUUGGGACUGAGACACGGCCCAAACUCCUACGGGAGGCAGCAGUAGGGAAUCUUCGACAAUGGACGAAAGUCUGAUGGAGCAACGCCGCGUGAGUGAAGAAGGUAUUCGGAUCGUAAAGCUCUGUUGUUGGUGAAGAAGGAGAGAGGCAGUAACUGGCCUUUAUUUGACGGUAAUCAACCAGAAAGUCACGGCUAACUACGUG
rnacentral:rRNA from 1 species